rnacentral:rRNA from 1 species
AGGACGAACGCUGGCGGCGUGCCUAAUGCAUGCAAGUCGAGCGACGCAUACUGGAGGGGUAACCCACCGGUAUGACGGAGCGGCGAACGGGUGAGUAACACGUGAGCAACCUGCCCCGAAGACCGGGAUAGCCCAGGGAACUUGGAUUAAUACCGGAUAUCCUCGGACGUCUUCCUGGACGACUGAGGAAAGCUUUUGCGCUUCGGGAUGGGCUCGCGG